rnacentral:rRNA from 1 species
AUUGAACGCUGGCGGCAGGCCUAACACAUGCAAGUCGAGCGGAUGAAGGGAGCUUGCUCCUGGAUUCAGCGGCGGACGGGUGAGUAAUGCCUAGGAAUCUGCCUGGUAGUGGGGGAUAACGUCCGGAAACGGGCGCUAAUACCGCAUACGUCCUGAGGGAGAAAGUGGGGGAUCUUCGGACCUCACGCUAUCAGAUGAGCCUAGGUCGGAUUAGCUAGUUGGUGGGGUAAAGGCCUACCAAGGCGACGAUCCGUAACUGGUCUGAGAGGAUGAUCAGUCACACUGGAACUGGGACACGGUCCAGACUCCUACGGGACGCAGCAGUGGGGAAUAUUGGACAAUGGGCGAAAGCCUGAUCCAGCCAUGCCGCGUGUGUGAAGAAGGUCUUCGGAUUGUAAAGCACUUUAAGUUGGGAGGAAGGGCAGUAAGUUAAUACCUUGCUGUUUUGACGUUACCAACAGAAUAAGCACCGGCUAACUUCGUG